rnacentral:misc_RNA from 1 species
UGAUGAAGUACGCAGCAAUUGAAGCUGCAGAAAUGAUGAGUGCCUGAGCAGUAUAAUUAAGGUUUGCUUUGGCCCAAGGAACUACUCGAACAGCAACCAACGUAGGCACUGCACUGGCAACACAUGCAAUAGAAGCAUUCUUGAAACCAGCACGAACACCUUCUUGAGUGCAAAGCUUGGCGUUCGAAAUUUUCCGUUCCUCAGCCGGCGAGGGAAUUACAAUAAGGUUCCUUCUGUGCACCCACAAAUCCCUCAAUUCCGAUGGAAUUCCCAUUGGUGGUCGUCAAAAACCUAAUCGGAAAA